rnacentral:rRNA from 1 species
UUGAAAGGGAAACGAUUGAAGUCAGUCGUACCAGCGGGAAUCAACCUUUCGAGUGGGGGUUGGAGUUUUGAAGUGUGUCAAAACCUUUGAGAUUCCNAAAUUUUCGCUCUUUUGGUGUACUUUCUCGUGGGUGGGUUAACAUCGAUUUUGAUCAUCAUAAAAAGAUUGGAGGAAUGCAGCUUCGAUCUUGUAUUGAAGUGUUAUAGCCUUUGGUAAAUGUGAUGAUUAGGAUCGAGGAUUGCAACGAAUACCCUUUUGGGCUAUCCGCCUGAUCUCUGAUACGUGGCCUUGGUAUCGAAAGCUUGCUUAUGGUACUAAGGUAUUACGGUCAAAAGGUUAGAACGGAUUACAUUCGUUAAGGAUGUUGACGUA